rnacentral:rRNA from 1 species
CCUACGGGGGGCUGCAGUGGGGAAUAUUGGACAAUGGGCGAAAGCCUGAUCCAGCCAUGCCGCGUGUGUGAAGAAGGCCUUCGGGUUGUAAAGCACUUUCAGUGGGGAAGAAAGCCUUGGGGCUAAUACCCUCGAGGAAGGACAUCACCCACAGAAGAAGCACCGGCUAACUCCGUGCCAGCAGCCGCGGUAAUACGGAGGGUGCGAGCGUUAAUCGGAAUUACUGGGCGUAAAGCGCGCGUAGGCGGUCUGAUAAGCCGGUUGUGAAAGCCCCGGGCUCAACCUGGGAACUGCAUCCGGAACUGUCAGGCUAGAGUGCAGGAGAGGAAGGUAGAAUUCCCGGUGUAGCGGUGAAAUGCGUAGAGAUCGGGAGGAAUACCAGUGGCGAAGGCGGCCUUCUGGACUGACACUGACGCUGAGGUGCGAAAGCGUGGGUAGCAAACAGGAUUAGAUACCCGAGUAGUC